rnacentral:lncRNA from 1 species
GUUUUAAAUAUGAUGUAUGGGUUAUUCAUAUUUGAUUCUUAUAUAUAUGUUUAUAUAUAUAUAUAUACAAGAUAACGACACACUAAAUAAAAUAAAGAGGGAAAAAACAAAUCCUACAUAACACGUAACUAUUAAAAAACACAGAAAAAUAGAUAACAUAAAUAGAAAACUCAACCUAGAAAUAACUUAAGCAGUUCUAGUUGUAUUUUACGAGUUAUUCACUGAAAACUUAGACAAAUUGUUUAAAAAUGUUUUAAAUAUGAUGUAUGGGUUAUUCAUAUUUGAUUCUUAUAUAUAUGUUUAUAUAUAUACAAGAGAACGACACACUUAAUAGAAUAAAGAAGGAAAAAACAAACCCUACAUAACACGUAACUAUUAAAAAACAUAGAAAAAUAGAUAACAUAAAUAGAAAAAUCAACCUAGAAAUAACUUAACCAGUUCUUGUUGUACUUUACGAGUUAUUCAUUGAAAUCAUAGACAAAUUGUUUAAAAAUGUUUUAAAUAUGAUGUAUGGGUUAUUCAUAUUUGAUUCUUAUUUAUAUGUUUAUAUAUAUAUACAAGGUAACGACACACUAAA